rnacentral:lncRNA from 1 species
UGACAACCAGGCAACCUUACGCAUCGUAGCCAACAAAGUAUAUCCUGAGAGGACCAAAUAUAUCGAGUUGCAUUAGAUUGCCAUGUUACUCGAGAGAAAUCACCAACUGGUAUCAUCACGACUUCCUUCGCUCCAUUUUAGCAUCAACUCACAAAUAUCUUAACUAAGGUAUUCAAUUUCACAUGAUAAUAUGCAAGCUAGGUGUUCCUACUUUGCACAAGCUGGCUUGAGAGGGAAUAUUAGGCGACAUGUUGAGCAUAUACUUUCUUAUCUCUUCAGUCAUUGAGAUUCAUUUCCAUAGUUGUAUGAUUUUUACAAUUAUGGGAUUCCUUUUUCACUACCUUAUUAUCAUCCUAGUCAAGCACAUUCGCUCUUAUCACUCCAAAACCAUUAGGAUCCAUGCCCAUAUUUAUGCAUUGUACAAUCAUGGAUAAUCAUUAGGAUCUAUUUCUAUAUUAUGCUCUCUACAAAUAUGGACAAUUACUAGGAUUUGAUUCUAUAUUUGUGCACUCUACAACAAUGGAUAAUCAUUAGAAUCCAUGUCCAUAUUAUUGUGCUCUCUAUAAAAGUGGACAAUCAUUAGGAUACAUUCCAUAUUUAUGCUCUUUGCAUUUAUCAGGUCCUUUAUUGCUGACUUCCUUUCAUGGAUUUGUUUCUUAGUUACCCUAGAAAUUACAAGAAUUUGUAUCAUAUGAGAUAAUAUAUAUAUCCAAGGAAUAAGGUACACAAGAUCAUCAUUCUUCCCAACCAAUUUUCUCAUCUCCCUCCUGUGGAGCUCUGGUUUAUGUCCUCUCCUCUCUCUCUUAUCGAUAUCAACUGCUAUAUUGUGCCAGUUUCGUUGCCAAGGAAGAUGCCUUCAAUCUAGAGUUUGAUUUUUCUGCUGGUUUAGGUUCGUUCAAGCAUGUUUUCAAUAUUAGUUCUCAAAAGCUUUUAUUUGGUCUACAUCUACCUGUAUCUUUUCUUUUUUCUGUGCUAAUCCAAGCCAAACCCUGCUCCAUUAGUUUUGUCAUAGCCUAUGAGAAAUAAGGUAAAGCUAAAGUUUGAUUUGGAGAAGAGCUGGCUGCUCAUUUCACUGGCUUGAUGGGACAUUCAGAAAAUGGUGUGGCACAAAGAGCUGGCCGAUGGAGUCCAUCCAGCCCCACCUAUCACCGGCUUCCACAUCGUCCAGGUAAACCUAGUGGUGGUUUUAGGGGAGAGGCUUAAGCAUGGCAUAAAAAUAUUCUACAUUCCCAUCACUAAUUCAAUGGUUUGCCCAUCAUCAUGUGGUGUAGUGAUAAAUUUGCUUGCUGCAACUUGCAUGGCCAUGAGGCUCAGAGUUCGAUCCCAAGUGCUCAUUACAAGGCAGAGGUAAUGCUUUCCUCCUCUUACAUUACAUCAUCUCUUCUUCUUAAUUUAUUGCAGUAUAUAUUAAUUCUCUCUACUUUGGCUGGAGAAAAUAAAAAACACAUAGAUGGUAUAGGAUGACGAUCUUUAAAAAUAUGUUCUUCUGAUAGCAGGUCUGGAGACGCUUAUCGUUCUCUUCUCAGUCCAAUGCCAAGACACUCCCCAGAUGGCAAAUGGAGAAACCUAUGGGGGAGCAACAUGGACCUGGAAUUCUUGGUACUCCUCCUCUCUCCCAUCUCAUAGGCUCAUUCAUUACUUAGCUUCUUAUUAUAAUGGUUUUAAGAAUCAGCAAUGGCAAUAAUAUGUUGCUGAUGGCAUUAGGUUGGAGGGCAAAGGUGGUAGCCUUGUCUCUGGACGUACAUUUCUUUCCUAUGCAAAGGGUUCCAAAGAGAUCAGAACCUUCAACCAUACCAGGGAGGAUGCAACUUCGCAUGGAACCAAUCUAGGAGAGCACCUGCACUACAACCAUUUUCCCGACACCGAACUGUGAACCUAAACAACCUUCAGAAGAAGUAACAAAGCUUGUAGAUCGGUAGAAUACCGAUCCAUACCAGGGAGGACACAACUUCGCAUGGAACCAAUCUAGGAGAGCACCUGCACUACAAGUCUACAACCAUUUUCCCGACAUCGAACUGUGAACCAGAACAACCUUCAGAAGAAGUAACAAAGCUUGUAGAUCGGUAGAAUACCGAUCUCUCAUUGGGACUCAAUAUGUAUUCUUACAUCGAAAUAUAUGUGGAUAUGUUAUCCUAUACAAUUGGAAUCUGUGUUCCUAUUUCAAAUGUGUGGAUUUAUUUUCUUA